rnacentral:rRNA from 1 species
GAUGAACGCUGGCGGCGUGCCUAAUACAUGCAAGUCGAGCGAACAGACGAGGAGCUUGCUCCUCUGACGUUAGCGGCGGACGGGUGAGUAACACGUGGAUAACCUACCUAUAAGACUGGGAUAACUUCGGGAAACCGGAGCUAAUACCGGAUAAUAUAUUGAACCGCAUGGUUCAAUAGUGAAAGACGGUUUUGCUGUCACUUAUAGAUGGAUCCGCGCCGCAUUAGCUAGUUGGUAAGGUAACGGCUUACCAAGGCAACGAUGCGUAGCCGACCUGAGAGGGGUGACGGGCAAAACUGAAACUGGAACAGGUUCCAGAUCCCUAGGGAGGGCGGAGUUGGGAAAUCUUCGCAAUGGGCGAAAGCCUGACGGAGCAACGCCGCGUGAGUGAUGAAGGUCUUCGGAUCGUAAAACUCUGUUAUUAGGGAAGAACAAAUGUGUAAGUAACUAUGCACGUCUUGACGGUACCUAAUCAGAAAGCCACGGCUAACUACGUG